AGUGGUUCUCGGGUGAUGCAACCGAAAUCGAGCUCCCUCCUCUCUGGUUCUGGGAUGCGUCACCCAAGAACUGCC
rfam:Myotis brandtii contig198331, whole genome shotgun sequence.